rnacentral:rRNA from 1 species
UACGUAGGGGGCGAGCGUUACCCGGAUUUACUGGGCGUAAAGCGCGCGUAGGCGGUGCGGUAAGUCAGGGGUUAAAGGCUGCAGCUCAACUGCAGUAAGGCCUUUGAUACUAUCGCGCUAGAGUACCAGAGAGGAUGGCGGAAUUCCCGGUGUAGCGGUGAAAUGCGUAGAUAUCGGGAGGAAUACCAGUGGCGAAGGCGGCCACCUGGUCAGAAACUGACGCUGAGGUACGAAAGCGUGGGGAGCAAACAGG